ensembl:lncRNA TEX41 testis expressed 41
GUAAACCUCAGGUUCUCCUCCUGCCUUUUGCUAAGUAUAUGUCUUGAUGACAAGCCUUCUGCUGAUGAGCUGUGUUUCUGGACCGAUCAUGGUAGAAGUCAAUUAACGUGUCCCUCACUUGGGGUUUCUCAAGGGAACUGAAAAUGAAAGAACCAAAAUAGAUAUCAACAGAUAAUUAAAGGAACGUUUGGAAGUUUUUUACCUCAUGCAAACCUCAAACUCUGAACCACUACUGCCUAAAGGAAAUAAAUACUGUGUUAUGACUUUGAAAAAGUGAAGUGGCCAUGUUAGGAGGCCCAGAUGGUAAGGAGCUGAGGGAGGCCUCCAGGAAAUGGCCAGCAAGAAGCCGGCUCCCUCAGCCUUGUAGCUACAAGAAAAUGAAUUCUGCCAGCAAUCUGAGUGAACUUGGAAGCUGAUUCUUCCUCUGUCAAGCCUCCAGAUGAGAAUCUCAGUCACAGCCAACACCUUGACUGCAGUCCUUAGCAGAGGACUCUGCCAAGCUGUGCCAGGACUCCUGACCUGCAGAAAUUGUGAGGCCUUUGUUUGGGUCACAGAAUAUCUUGAAUGCAGAGCUCACACAGGUUGUGAUAGGCUUUACUUCUAUCACUAACUGGAAACAAAGAAAAUCUACACUGAAGGAAACCUUUUCAAGUCGAACUUCUGUCAAGCAAUUGGAGGAGCAUGUGGUUUUGUGGUCAUGUGGAUUCGCUAUAUGGAAUAUGAUUGAAGGAUGAUUAUAAUUACAGAAAUUAUAGAGAUAUGACAGAGCAAGAUAUGGUCCCUGACUCAUGGAUCUUACAUUAGUAUUGGAAAGAAGCCUAUUAAACUCUCCAUCCUAUCAGCUUCAAUUUCAGCUAUUAGCUUUACUUUCUACUGUCUUUUUCAAGUCAAGAUCAAAUGGAGAGCAAAGGGAGUGCACCUUUCCUCUGCAGUUCCAUCACUGUUCAACAUAAUCAUCUCUACCUACAUUUCAGAACAAUUCUGAAUAUUAAUAAGACAAUGUCUAUGAGAUGAGCUCAUCUGGGAAAGCAUAAUAUAAGUGUAAGCCAUUAUAAUUUAUUGCUUCUCAAAUGUUAUAUAAGAUAUUCAACUGGAUAUGUUAUUAAUAAAAAAUUAUAAUAAAGAGAAAUUUAGAAUGAGAAAACA